GUGCUCGCUUCAGCAGCACAUAUACUAAAAUUAGAACCCAUGGAGAAGAUUAGAAUGGUCCUUGUGCAAGGAUGAUAUGCAAAUUUAUAAAGCGUUCCAUAUACUA
ensembl:snRNA U6 U6 spliceosomal RNA